UAUUCAACAAAUCCACAAUUACUUUUCAUCUCAGAAAUCCCAAUUCACAUUCAACUAAAACUAAGCAGAUACGAAAUCUUCAAAAAUCAAUUCUCUAUUAAAAAAAAUGGAAGAACAUAUCUCAACAAAGGUAGCAAAACCCUAAUCGUGUCAAUCAGUAAUCGGUGUCAAACCAAUGUAAGAAACUAUAAAGUGAAUCAAAUUGAUAAUCAGAACAACAAAAUUAAAUACAAUAAAUAAAUAAAUAAAUUCAAGAACGCCACUUUCACCGACAAAAUCAUAGAUUGCAGAUGAAU